GGGAAGCAAGUGACGGAGGUCGCCAAGUUGGUCCCACAGCAGGAAGCCCACCAAAUCCAGCGAGAUCCAGGCCGUCUUGGCCUCGCCCUCUCGGCGGACAUCACCAAGCACACCGGUUGUCUCCUCGGGCACCACCAAGCCACCUGGCCUUCACCAAGUUCACCUCAUCUUAGGUUAGCCUCUAGGACUGGAAAUAGUAGCAGUGGUAUUGGUAGUCGUGCCUCAGUUCAUCUCAUUACCUGCUAUUCCCUACUGGUAGCCGUGCUGCCGUGGUAAUACACUAAUACCAGUAAUGAGUUGGAAUGGAUUAUAUGGAUGUAAUCAGUUUGGACUUGGGGUUGCAAUGUGGAUCAUGAUGACGCUAAUGAGGUGGUGUCCCUAAAUGGAUCUGUAGUAGUGGUUACUUCUUAAUCGCUUCUUUUCGAAAGGAAUGCUUAUUACUUGUCACUUCUGAUCUAGAUCGUUCUUAUUGUGAUUGUUCUCUGCUGGUUAGUUUUUUUCUUUGUUAUGUGAAAUAUUGGAUGACAAAAUUCGGAAUUGAAGUGGUAGUUUGAAAAUCUCUAUGGGAGUUGAGUUGUUCAGACGGUUCGUCACAUAUCAAGGUCAUACAGGUUCUUCAGCUUGCCUAGUUAAGUUAAAACUGGUCCUUUAAGAUUGCUAUUGAAUGCAGGCAUACAACAAUUUUUAGCAAACUUUGAGGGAUUUCCAAUAGAAGAAUGUAUGAGCCUGGCAAGAGGGUGUUGUAGAAACCUAAUUCAACUAAGUUUGCCAUGGUUAAAUACUUAAAUUUCUUCUGAUGUUAAACUUUAUCUUCCUUUUUUAGACAAACAUAGUUUCAAGGAAGGUAUGCGGACAAUCACCUAUGGUGUUGAUUGUUCAAGAAUCACAUCAGUACCACUCAUUCUUUGUUAUUCUGAAUGUUUGCUACAUUUAUAACUAGCUUGUGGGAUUUGGACUGGGGUGGGUGUUUGAAACUUUUCAGCUUUCAUAUGGCAGGAUUUGGACUCACAUCUUAUUACCAAUUAUUCAUAAAAAAACAUACUGACAACCAGUGAGACUCUCCAUUGUUGAUCUGUUUGACAUAUUUACAAAACAUCCUUUAGACUUGCAUGCACCUAUUUACAGAAAUAUGAGUUGUUGACAAUGGAAGGAGAGGAUAUUGACUAAUACAUCUCAAUGACAAUCCUCAAGAAAAGGAGGCACAUUGACGUUGAGGACACUCUGGACCUUAUCUGGUGUCAAUAAAUGCAGGUUGUUUAUUUAGACAGAAAAUGAUAGAGAUGCAGCAUCAUAUACAUAUCCGGUUAUGUAUACCAAGGACCAUAUGGAGUCUUAUGGCCCAUUUUCAGUUUUACUACUUAAUUAUCGUUGCAAAUUACUGCAGAGUUGUCCACUCCACAUUCCACCAUAGGCGAUCUGCUAAUAUGGAGGGCUUUACUUGCACUUUCUGGAAGUAUUCUUGAUAUGCUAAAGUCUCCGACUCGGGCACUCAUGUCUUCUGCAAGAAGAAUGUUGCUUGGCUUCAGAUCACAAUGGACGAUUGGUGGCUGACAGUGAUUAUGAAGGUAGUCCAGGGCAUCAAUGAUAUCGACAGCAAUGUUUAGCCUUUGUUCCAGGCUUAGACUAUUUCUCAAAGUGGGCAUGGCAGAUUUUGAAUGAAUCCAAUCAUUUAAGAUACCAUUGGGCAUGAACUCAAAAACAAGUGCUUUGAACUCUUGACCUUGGUGAUUGAUGCUUGAGCAGCACGUGAUGAUCUUUAUGAGACAACGAUGACGCACCCUUCUUAGAGCUUCACAUUCAGCCACAAAACUUUUUAUAGAUCUAGUCUGCUCAAGGCGAAAAACCUUCACAGCUGCAAUAUUUCCUUCAUCUUGAAAAGUGCAUUUAUAUACCUCCCCAAAGCUUCCUUUACCAAGCAAAUUAGCUUCUGAAAAUCCAUUGGUUCCAUUUUCUAGUGUCUGGUAAGAAACUCUUUCAUAGUGUUCCUCGAUUUUUGGUGGUUGGAAUGACCUCGUCUGCCUUUGUCUAAGCUUCUUGCAGAUCAAUUGAGCAGCAAUAGCAAAAGCUAAGAACAGGAGUGCACCGGUUGUUGCUAGGCCUAUUGUAAGAGAUUUCAACUUCUCUUUUUUGUUACUUUUCACCACAUUUAUGUGGCACGGAGAUUGUUGAAGGAUAGAUCUAAUUCUGACAAUGUCAAGUUUUGCAAUAUUAUUGGGAUUGUCCCUGACAAAUUGUUGUGUGCCAGAUACAACUGUUGAAGGUUGCGCAUGCUACCAAUGGCUUCAGGAAUGACGCCAGACAACUUAUUCAUGGACAAGUUGAGUCCAGUUAGGCCCUUUAUAUUGCUCAGAGAUUGAGGUAUGGCUCCUUCAAAUAAGUUGUCAUCCAGCCCAAGUUCCUGCAACACGGUGCAGUCCCCAAUGCUACCAGGUAUCUCACCAGACAGUUGGUUUCUAGACAGCGCCAGGAUGUUAAGGUUUAUCAAGCUACCAACCUCAGCGGGUAGGGUACCUGAUAAUGAAUUAUGUAAUAAGCCUAAGUAUCUAGAAAGGAGUGGUAGCUGGAAAAUCUCGACGGGAAUUGAACCGUUUAGGCGGUUACUUGAGAUAUCAAGGGCAUAGAGGUUCUUCAGCCUCCCUAUGCUUUUGGGAAUUGGUCCCUCCAGAUUGCUAUUGAAUGCAACAAGCGCAGCUAACUCUGAAAGAUUUCCAAUAGAUGAAGGUAUAAGCCCUGACAGAUUGGUAUUGUACAGGUUUAAUUCAACCAAGUUUACCAGCUUGCCAAUGCUAUCUGGGACCGCACCAGACACGGAAGUAUUUGACACGCUGAAGAACUGGAGGUUGAAAAGAUUGCCAAUUUCUAAGGGGAUGCUUCCUACGAUCCCUGUGUCAGCCAACAUGAGGCCUUGCAUGGUCGUCGAGAGAUUCACUAUUGAGGCUGGCAGCCACCCAGUAAGACCGAUGUUGGUGCUGAUAGUCAAGCUUUGGAGCUGGCUGCAGUUUACAAGGAAGCCAUGAAUUCCCAUCCCUCCGUGUCAUUUGCUUCUAGCAUGUUGUCGUGCAAGCUUAGUGAUUCCAAAGCUCGCAGCCUCCCCAGUGCCCGGGGCACAUGCCCACUUAGCCUAUUUGUGAUAAGAUCGACAUCCUGGAGAGUGGUGAGGUUGGAGAGUGAAGCGGGGAUGGAUCCCGUCAGCUGGUUCUUGCCAAAGCUAAGGAUCGUUAUGUUGGGGAACUUGCUACCGAUGUCGGACGGAAUGCCCCCAUGGAGCAUGUUUCCUUGGACCUGCAUCGUUAUUAAGGAAGACAAGUUCAAUAGGGAGCGCGGGAGCUCGCCAGAUAGUUUGUUGUAAUCCAGUGAGAGCCAUUGGAGACCCUGGAUGCCGCCUAGAUCGGGCGUGAUGCUGCCCUCAAGCUGGUUUAAUCCAAGGUCCAGAGUAGUCAGAGACGACAGAUUGGCCAGCGAUGCCGGGAUGGUGCCGGUGAAGUUGUUGCUGAAGAGAUCGAGGCCCCUGAGGCGCUUGAGGCUGCCACCGAGCUCGGGAGGCACACGCCCAUGGAGCUGGUUGGAGCUUAGGCCCAAGGACACCAGACUGGUGCAGGAGCUCAGGUUGGCGGGGAGCUUACCAGAGAAGGCAUUGUGGCUUAGGUCCAGGUUAUGGAGGCGUUGCAGGCGGCCGAGGCUCGCCGGGAUGCUGUUGUGGAACCCGUUGUUGCUCAGGUUGAGAGUCCAUAGGGAUGACAGAUUACCGAUGGCUGGCGAGAGGACGCCUGUGAGCCCACGUGAGGGCAGGCUCAGCUUCACCACUUGCCGGUGCUUGCCCCAGCAUCUCACCCCCUCCCAGCUACAGUACCCACCGCCACCGGCGCUGCUCUCGUUCCACGAAGCAAGCGGGUCGCCGUACCCGCCGCUGAUCGCCGCCACCUUGAAGGCCAGAAGCGAGGCCAGCUCUUCGUUUGCUGAUACGGCGGGGGGGAUUGAGAUGGACACGGAGAACAACAGCAGCGGCAAGCACAGCGAUCGCAUUGCCAUGCCGGUUGCUUCUUGCCUUGGCACACGAUUACACGAUCGCGGAAAAGUGAUUGGUGUUCUGUACUAGCUGGUGGCCUGAUGCUUAUAUUUACAAGACCUGAUGCACCAUCAGUGACAAGUGAAUUUGUUUGCCAAAAAAAUAUACAGUGGCCACUGCUUUCUGUAUAAGGUUAGCUCUUGACUUGGUGAGAGUCCGCGUGCCAUCUUCCACACGACAAUCCGCAUCACAUGUCUAUCACUGUUAAGACUGUCUUCGGAUCGUGUAAAAUAGAGAAUGCGGCACUGUAAUUUAUACUGUUCCACACUGUUUGCAGAGUGAAGUUUGUUGGAGACGAAA